rnacentral:pre_miRNA from 1 species
AUGUAGGGCAAUCUGUCUUUAAGUAGGGGUAAAUUACUCUUAAAAAAGAUUUCUAAAUAGUUUUCCCUUCAAGUCAAGCAUCUUGU